CCUGGGGGCGUGCUAAUACAUGCAAGUCGAGCGGACAGAAGGGAGCUUGCUCCCGGAUGUUAGCGGCGGACGGGUGAGUAACACGUGGGUAACCUGCCUGUAAGACUGGGAUAACUCCGGGAAACCGGAGCUAAUACCGGAUAGUUCCUUGAACCGCAUGGUUCAAGGAUGAAAGACGGUUUCGGCUGUCACUUACAGAUGGACCCGCGGCGCAUUAGCUAGUUGGUGAGGUAACGGCUCACCAAGGCGACGAUGCGUAGCCGACCUGAGAGGGUGAUCGGCCACACUGGGACUGAGACACGGCCCAGACUCCUACGGGAGGCAGCAGUAGGGAAUCUUCCGCAAUGGACGAAAGUCUGACGGAGCAACGCCGCGUGAGUGAUGAAGGUUUUCGGAUCGUAAAGCUCUGUUGUUAGGGAAGAACAAGUGCAAGAGUAACUGCUUGCACCUUGACGGUACCUAACCAGAAAGCCACGGCUAACUACGUGCCAGCAGCCGCGGUAAUACGUAGGUGGCAAGCGUUGUCCGGAAUUAUUGGGCGUAAAGGGCUCGCAGGCGGUUUCUUAAGUCUGAUGUGAAAGCCCCCGGCUCAACCGGGGAGGGUCAUUGGAAACUGGGAAACUUGAGUGCAGAAGAGGAGAGUGGAAUUCCACGUGUAGCGGUGAAAUGCGUAGAGAUGUGGAGGAACACCAGUGGCGAAGGCGACUCUCUGGUCUGUAACUGACGCUGAGGAGCGAAAGCGUGGGGAGCGAACAGGAUUAGAUACCCUGGUAGUCCACGCCGUAAACGAUGAGUGCUAAGUGUUAGGGGUUUCCGCCCCUUAGUGCUGCAGCUAACGCAUUAAGCACUCCGCCUGGGGAGUACGGUCGCAAGACUGAAACUCAAGGAAUUGACGGGGGCCCGCACAAGCGUGGAGCAUGUGGUUUAAUUCGAAGCAACGCGAGACCUUACAGUCUGACAUGCUCUGACACCCUAGAGAUAGGCUUUCCUUCGGGACAGAUGACAGUGUGCAUGCUGUCGUCAGCUCUGUCCUGGAGAAUGGUUGGGGGUUAAGUUCCCGCAACCCAGCCGCAAC
rnacentral:rRNA from 1 species